rnacentral:rRNA from 1 species
UCGAGCGGUAGAGAGAAGCUUGCUUCUCUUGAGAGCGGCGGACGGGUGAGUAAUACCUAGGAAUAUGCCUGGUAGUGGGGGAUAACGCUCGGAAACGGACGCUAAUACCGCAUACGUCCUACGGGAGAAAGCAGGGGACCUUCGGGCCUUGCGCUAUCAGAUGAGCCUAGGUCGGAUUAGCUAGUUGGUGAGGUAAUGGCUCACCAAGGCGACGAUCCGUAACUGGUUUGAGAGGAUGAUCAGUCACACUGGAACUGAGACACGGUCCAGACUCCUACGGGAGGCAGCAGUGGGGAAUAUUGGACAAUGGGCGAAAGCCUGAUCCAGCCAUGCCGCGUGUGUGAAGAAGGUCUUCGGUUUAAAGCACUUUAAGUUGGGAGGAAGGGCAGUAACCUAAUAC